CAAUAGCGUAUAUUUAAGUUGUUGCAGUUAAAAAGCUCGUAGUUGGAUUUCGGUUAAGAGCGACCGGUCCGCCGUUUGGUGUGCACUGGUUGGUUUUAACUUCCUGUAGAGGACGUGCUCUGGGUUUAACGACCUGGACUCGGAGUCUACGUGGUUACUUUGAAAAAAUUAGAGUGUUCAAAGCGGGCUUACGCUUGAAUAUUUCAGCAUGGAAUAACACUAUAGGACUCCUGUCCUAUUUCGUUGGUCUCGGGACGGGAGUAAUGAUUAAGAGGAACAGUUGGGGGCAUUCGUAUUUCAUUGUCAGAGGUGAAAUUCUUGGAUUUAUGAAAGACGAACUUCUGCGAAAGCAUUUGCCAAGGAUGUUUUCGUUAA
rnacentral:rRNA from 1 species